CGCCCUGAGAGACAUCCAUCGAGGGCUUUUGUAGUUUGUGCCUCCCUUUCUCUAUCUGCUCUGUUUGCUGUAUUUAUAUACUCUUUAUCUCUUGCCAAAAGAGGAAGGAGAACUUUGGCUAGGGUUAGGGUUUUCAUUUUUGUUUCUAGUUUCCCAAUUUUUGAGCUUUAAUGGAAGAGAUUACAGAGGGAGUUAACAACAUCAACUUGACUGGCGAUUUACACAAGAAAAAUCGUAUUCAAGUCUCCAACACCAAGAAGCCUUUGUUCUUCUAUGUCAAUCUCGCCAAGAGAUACAUGCAGCAGCACAACGAGGUGGAACUGUCUGCACUUGGAAUGGCUAUUGCUACAGUUGUCACUGUUGCAGAAAUUCUGAAAAACAAUGGAUUGGCGGUUGAAAAGAAGAUCAUGACUUCAACAGUUGAUAUGAGAGAUGAAUCAAGAGGGCGGCCUGUCCAAAAAGCCAAGGUAACUAAUAAGUGUAUGUUUAACACUUUGGAUAUCUAGUGUAACUAUUUUACCUUGAUAUUCAUGCAGAACAGUAUCUUGCUGCACGAAGUCCCUUUAAUGUAUUCUUAUAAUAUUGGCAAUUCUGAACUACGCACUAUAUUAUUUCUUAUUCUAUUUCCCAUCUAUUAUUUAGGGGACUUGGGCUUCUUCAUCUGUUGGACCGCUUCAUUACUUUGGAUUUCUGCUUUUUGAACCUUUGUAUUAAAUCCUACUUGUUUCAGCUUGAAAUAAUGCUCUGUGGUGAAUUUUUUUGUGGUCAAAUUUCAUCUAGUGACUAUGAUGAAUAUCUUUUGUGUUUCUUUCUCAGAUCGAGAUAUUGCUGGGGAAGACUGAAAACUUUGAUGAAUUGAUGGCAGCUGCUGCUGAAGAAAGAGACAUUGUAGAUGGUGAAGAGCAGAGUUGAAAAUGGGAUGCUCCUUAUUAUCUGAGGGUCUGUUUUCGAUGAAUUAUUAGCCAAGAACACUUUUAAUAAGUCAAUUUCUUAGAUUCUAGGUGCCUGAGGUGAUGUGAAAAUUUUUUAUGCUAGAAGCAUAGAAACAAAAUAUGUCUGCUAUCCAAGAUUCAAUUUUGAUGCCUAACAUUUUUGGUUUUGAUUGAUUUUGCUACAAGACAGUGUUGCUUCAUAUGUGCUCAUGACAAAUCACUAUUGAUCUAACCUUAUUUGGCAGCUGUGUGAUUUAACUAGGCCUUGAGAAUUUAUGUCUUUGCUUAGAAGGUUCCACUAAUCUUCCUUUUGCUAAUCCACUAAUUGGUGGGCCACAUGCAAAGCUUUGAUCUUGCUUGUGGUUUCGGAUUUGUUUCCUGGGAUUGAUUGUGUUGUGCACAAUGUACCAGUGUCUAAUGCAGAAUGUUCUAAACCACAAUCGCCAGAUGAUCUCUUUGAUUGUCCACCUAUGACCAAAAGAAAUUUCUAAAUAAUGAAAAGGAAUUCUGUCUUUCACAGUCGAAUUGAGGGUAAAAUAUGUUGAGUUUAGCAUUCAAAGACCAUUUAAAGAAUACAAUCAA
rnacentral:misc_RNA from 1 species